ACUGCAUAAUAUACUUCUAGAAUGCGGAAACCAUGAACAAUAGGCCAUAAGAUUCAACUAAAUAGAAUAUCUGAAAAAUAAUAACAUCCAUAUAGGGUAACAAAUACCCAAAACAACUAAAAACUGAAUCUAAAAUCUAAACUAAAUUUGAAAGCCUCUAAAUACUGUCUGAAAUAAGGAUUGAAGGAACAUGUCUCCAACUAACUCCGUCUAGCAAAAUUGAACUGAAAUAAUGAAUAAAAUAAAAUAAUAUCAUCCUCGGAUGUAUGAAGACUCACUGCCACUCUAUGUAUUGGAAUGUUACUGCUACUGCUGAUCUGGAACUCAUGACUGUGAACCUAUGGUGCAACAUGAAAGAAAGCACCAUAGCGCAAAUGCGUCAGUACGACUGGGAGUACUGAGUAUACGAGUGAGGUAGGCUAAAAGCAAAAGGGUUUACAUGCAUGAACAAUGCUAACUGACUGACUGAUAUGAAUAUAAGAGUACAAAUAUGCAUACAUAGUAACUAAAAUAGUGAAUACAUGAUAUCUGGAUCUGUACGCUAAUACAUGGUUUACUGUUAUCUAACAUGAUUGAUACUAAAAUUUUGAUAACAUGGAUGACUGUGUCUGACAGUCCUAAUCUGUUAGAACUACCUGAGUUCCAUACUGUAACUGAAUUGACUGUAACUGAUAGUCCUGGUAUACUAUAAUCUGAAGAACUAUCUGAGUUCUUUUACUGAGACUGGGACUGAAACUGUGGGAGGUAGUUUCUUAACUGACAUGCCCUAAUAAUGCAUAUAGCUAGGUUGGGGUCCAAUCUCUACCCCGGCUAGAAGGGUAUCAAUACCGCGCCACUGGUAAGGACAACUGUAAGUGACCCUUAUCUGGCAGGUACUCGAAUAAAAAUGGUGGGAACCCUAAAUUCACAGGUUAAGCCACCUUAUCAACCCUAAUCUGGAAGGUUAAGAUGUCUUAACCUACGCUUGCUAUGUAGUUCUAUAACACAAGGAUGACUACUAAGAAUCACACCCUAAUUUGGCAGGUGAGUUCUCAUCCUUGGGUUCACUCGGUGCUAACUUCUACUCCCAUCUGAAGAGACUGAACAAGAUCUAACUAGUUAUACAUAGACUGAGUAACUGACUUCUGUUGACUCACGGAAUAGUACUACUAUCUGAGAAUUUAUUGAGAUUAUGAGAUUUCUAAGAUUUCCUGAGUCACAUGACUGACUGAGUUAUACAGAUCAUGGCUUGACUAAGAUUAUCAUGAUAACGUGACAUGGCUCUAGGAACAUAACUAUAUUUUUUGGGUACUAGUACCCCCAGGACUUGAUGGAAGGAAACUGACACACAUAACUGACUUGAUCAUAAAAUGUAGUCCACAAUUCACCAUAUCAUAAGUAGGGGAUUUCACACUAAGCAUAGUUCUCAACAUAUUACGUAUGGAAGGGAAAUUCAUGCAAUAUGUGUAUAUUUUCAUAGCUUCAAUAUCAUGCUCAAUCCAUAUCACAACAACGACGCAUAUCAAUCACGUAGAAUUCAUGUGAAAUCAUAAAGCAUAGAGCAUGGCCUUGUCAUUUAAGAACUAUUAAAUCAUGGGACAUGAAUUAUAUCAUCCUAGGCCUUUUAUCAAACACUUUGCAUGCAUUCUUUUAGCUUAGGUGUGUUUUCAUGAAUUUCCCCAUUUUAAACUACAUAAAGUUUAUGGAUUUCAACUAACAAACACAUAUACUUCAUGAAAACACCUUUAGAUAUCAUCUUGAAACUUAAACAACAAUCAUCAACAUGUACAUGGUCAUAUCACAACAAGACAAUCAUAAUAUAAUAUUUAAAACAUGGUUCUUGAGCUCUAUGAACAAAAUGGAUCCAUAGAUGAACACUACGCAUACCUUAGAUGGAAGAUUCUUGAUGAUUGAUGGAGAAAUUUACUUGAAUUUGAAUCCCCAAUUGAAAACCCUAAUAUGUUCUUGAGAGGAUUUUGAGAGAAAGAGUAUGUUUUGGUGAAAUAAGGGCUUAAUUCUGUGUUUAUGGAAUAUGUAGGGGUGGAAAGAUGACCCAAAUACCCCUCUAGAUGCGUCAAUUAAUUUCUGUGAAAAUUACCCGAUUUGGGCCCCCGAUGUGAUGCGGAGAUAUCGCGUUGCCCACUGUUUAUGACCUAUAAACUCUUUGCGACAUGGUGGAAUCAUGGAGAGACACUGAAAAGGACAAACGUCAUUUUGGCUUACGGCGCGACGCACCACUGACUGAAAAGACACUGCUAGAACUUUAAAUCGCCAUAACUUCUUCACCGGGUAUCCGUUUUAGGGGAAUUUGGUAUCGAUGUAAAGCUUAUUAAAUUCUAUACAAUUUGGAGGGCAUAAAUCUUCAAAAAUACCACCUAUAAACCAAGUUAUGCUUGUUCAAAAAUGACCUAUGUGAAAUCACACAUGAAACUUGGUGGAUUCAAAAGUUAUUAGCUUGACUUGCUCUAAGUGACUUUUAUGAACAUGCUUAACACAUCAGAAGCUCUAUUAUAACUUAAAUACUCAUCCUAAUUCAUGUAAUCCAAUAUGAAUCACAGGAUAGGAGGUUUCAUGUGUAGGAACAACAGUUCAUUUUCUAGCUUAGAAAUAUACGGGGUAUUAUAAUAUCUCCCCCUUGGAAACAUUCGCCCUCAAAUGAGAUUGAUUAAAAUGGAGAUAGGCGAUAAAAUUGAGUACGUGUAAUACAUACACUACUGGAACAUGAUCUUAUGAUGGACAUGACUGAUAAGCUAAACAUAUCAUGCUGGACAUGCAUAUCUAAUGUAUGAGUAACUGAUCAUGAAUGCAUAACUGAGAUUUCUGAUAACUAAGUUCUCCCAAUGAGAAUGCAUAUUUGAUGCAUGAUUAUACACUAGACUGAUACACGAAUGUAUGACUGAAUAUGCAAUGGUACGUGAUACCAGAGUUGUGAUAAAAUAUGAGCGUGAACUGAAUACCAAGUUGUAUACAAUACUGAAUGGGAAACUGAAUAAGCUUAAGGAGAAUUGUUACCUUGAGCUUGAUCUUUAUUGGCAGAGAAGAGGUGAGGAUACUUGUUAUGCAUGUCUGCUUCUUCUUCCCAAGUAGCUCCCUCAACGGACUGAUUUCACCAAAGAACUUUGACUAGAGGGACUUCUUUGUUCCUCAGUCUACGAGUCUUAUAAGCUAGAAUUUCAAUUGUAAUUUCCUCAUAGAAGAGACUGUUCUAACUGUCAAUGCUCUGAAUAGGGACUUCGACUGAUGGAUCACCUAUACACUUCUUGAGCAAAGAGACAUGAAAGACUGUAUGAACUGAGGCUAGAUCUGAAGGCAAUUCGAGCUCAUAAGCUAUCUUGUCUAAGCGACUGAGAAUCUUGAAGGGAUCGAUAUAUCGGGGACUGAUAUUUCUCUUCUUGCUGAACUGCUUCACUUCUUUCAUAGGAGAGAUCUUUAUAUAGACAUAUUCAUUGACCUCGAACUCGAUAUACCUUCUACGAAUGUCAGCAUACGACUUCUGUCGGCUCUGAGCAUCCCGAAGUCUUUCUCUAAUUAAUAGGACUCUCUCUAAGGUGUCGAAUACCAAGUCAGGCCCUAUGACUGAGGCCUCACUAACUUUGAACCAUCGGAUUAGAGAUGUGCACCUCCUACCAUAAAGAGCUUCAAACGAAGCCAUUUUAAUACUGGAAUGAUAGCUAUUGUUGUAUGCAAACUCAAUCAAAGGCAAGUAGUCAUCCUAACUUCCCUUGAAAUCAAUUGCAUACACCUUUAGCAUAUCUUCAGGAGUCUGAAUGGUCCUUUCUGCUUAACCGUCUAUCUGAGGAUGAAAAGCUAUACUAAGAUGAACUUGUGUACCAAGACCCUUUUGGAAUGCUUUCCAGAAGUGAAAGGUGAACUGGGUACCUCUAUUUGAGUUGAUAGAUAAUGGAACACCGUGUAAUCUGACUAACUCCCUGAUAUAGAGUUUGGUGUAAUCCUCAGCUGAAUAAGAGGUAUGGACUGGAAGAAAAUGGGCUGACUUGGUCAUUCUAUCUACAAUGACCCAAACUAAAUCAUGCUGAUGACGAGUUUGAGAAAAACCCAUCACGAAGUUCAUGUUCACUUCUUCCCACAUCUUAGUAGGAAUGGUGAACUCCUGCAUGGAACCACUAGGUUUUUGAUGCUCUAUCUUAACCUGCUGACUUGUAGGGAACUUAGCUAUAAAUUUUGCAAUAUCUCUCUUCAUCCCACUCUACCAAUAGAUCUCCCAUAGGUCGUGGUAAAUCUUAGUGGCCCCUGGAUGAAUAGAGUAUCGCGCACCAUGCGCUUCUGCAUGAUUUUUCUACUUUAAAUCAUCUACACCUAGAACACAGAGAUGACUCUGACAAUGAAUCACACCAUAUCCCCCCUGGGAGAAAACCUCUACUUUCUGAUUCUGAACUGACUCUUUUAGCUUGACAAGGCUAGGAUCCCUGUCUUGCUUUUCUUUCACCUUGGAAACUAGAGAUGACUCUGAACUAUCCUGAACACAUACACUACCCUCUGAAGAAUUAACUAAGCGAACACCUAGUCUGGCAAGCUGAUGGAUUUCCUGAGCUAUUUUCUUCUUGCUAUUCUCAACGUGAGAAACACUACCCAUAAAGAGUCUACUGAGAGCGUCGGCCAUAAUGUUGGCCUUGCUCGGAUGAUAAAGGACACUCAUGUCAUAAUCUUUCUAGAGCUCUAACCACUUUCUCUGAAGAAGAUUGAGAUCUUUCUGAGAAAAGACAUAUUAGACACUCUUAUCAUCUGUGAAGACAUCUAUAUGAACUCCGUAUAGAUAAUGCCUCCAAAUUUUCAAGGAAAAUACUACGGCUGCUAAAUUAAGAUCAUGAGUAGAAUAAUUCUUCUUAUGGGGCUUUAACUGCUUGAGGCAUAAGCUAUGACUUUACCAUGCUGCAUGAGGAAACAACCCAAAUCUAUUCUAGAUACAUCACAGUAUACAACGAACCCAUCUGAACCAUCUGGAAGAGCUAAGACUGGAGCUGAGGUGAGUCGAGUCUUCAAUUCCUAAAAACUCUUCUCGCAAGGAUCUGACCACUAAAAUUUGACCUUAUUCUUAGUCAAUCUGGACAUGGGAGAUACAAUAGAAUAAAAUCCCUCAACAAACCGCCUGUAAUAGCCAGCCAAACCCAAGAAACUCCUGAUAUCUAAUAGAGAGACAAGGUGAGGCCAGUUUCUUACUACUUCGGUCUUCUGAGGAUCUACUCUAAUCCCAUCACCAAAAAUAAUAUGGCCAAGGAAUGCUACUUACCUUAGCCAAAACUCGCACUUAUUGAAUUUAGCGAACAACUGGUGAUCUCUGAGAGUCUGAAGAAUAAUUCUGAGAUGGUCUGAAUGAUCACGCUCUAUGUGGGAAUAGACCAGGAUAUCAUCUAUGAAUACUAUGACGAACAUGUCCAAGUAUUGCUUGAACACACGGUUCAUCAAGUCUAUAAAAGCGUCUAGGGCGUUGGUAAGACCAAAGAACAUAACUAGAAAUUCAAAGUGACCAUACCAAGUAUGGAAAGCUUUCUUCGGGAUGUCACAUUCUCUAAAUCUGAGCUGAUGAUAGACUGAUCUGAGGUCUAUAUUGGAGAAAUAAUUGGCAUCCUAAAGUUGGUCAAACAAGCCAUCUAUUCUGGGAAGAGGAUACUUGUUCUUGACCAUACUUUGUUGAGCUGACGGUAAUCAAUACAUAUCCUGAGAGAACUGUCUUUCUUGUGCACGAAUAAAACUGGUACGCCCCAUGGGGAAAUACUGGGUCUAAUGAAUCCCUUAUCUAAGAGAUCCUUCAACUGAUCCUUCAGUUUUUUUGAGUUCUGCUGGUGCCAUUCUGUAUGGCGGAAUAGAAAUAAGUUGAGUAUCUGGAAUAAGGUCAAUGCCAAAGUUUAUUUCCCUUUCGGGAGGAAUGCUUGGAAGAUCUUCGGGAAAUACAUCUAAAUAUUCGUUAACCACUGGGAUUGAUUCAAAGCUAGGAGAUUCAAAAUAAGAGUCUUUAACAUGAACGAGAUGAUAAACACAUCCCUUAGAAAUCAUUUUCCUUGCCCGAAGGUAGGAAACAAGUUGACCCCUAAAAAAUGAAGUACUACCCUUCCACUCUAGGACGGGCUCAUUCGAGAACUGAAAUUAAACUAUCUUAUUUCUGCAACCGACUGUCGCAUAAAAGGAAUGAAGCCAAUCCUGCCAAGAAUGACAUCAAAAUCAGUCAUCUCUAACUAAACUAAAUCUGCUGAAGUGACUUUCUGAAAUAUCAUAAUAGGGCAGUUCCUGUAUACCCACCGAGCUAUGAUGGUUUUACCCACUCGGGUAGAGACUGAAAGGGCUCUGUUAAAAUUUCAGGACUGAUUCUAAAAUCGCCUGCUAUAUAAAGAGUAACAAAAGACAAGGAUGAACCUGGAUCUAGCAAAGAAUAAACAUGAACAUGAAAAAUCUGUAACAUACCAUUAACGAUAUCAGGAGAAUUUUCCUGAUCCUAUCAGGUCUAAAGAGCAUAGAGUCUGUUUGGGCGUCGCCCACUAGCAGCACUGGAAGUGGCACCCUGCUGAUUUGGGCAACUGAACAGGGCUGUAGAACGAUUCUUCUGACCCUGUAGACCUUACUGCAGACACUCUCUAAUCCUAUGACCUGGCUUUCCAUAACUGAAACAAAUGUCACUACCAGCUUUACAAGUACCCUUGUGGUUCUUACCAUAAGCCUAACACAGGGGAUCAGUUCGGGUACAGCUGACACUGCCCUGAGACUUAGAGCUUGGUGCUUGAUCUCUAUUGCCGUCUCUGAAUUUCGAAACUGGGGCAUUGGUGGAGGAAGGAGAUGGAACUGUUGGCUUAGGAUAGAACUGCGAAUAAUUUCCUCCUGAUUUAGGUUGAGCAAAACUAAAACUGCCUGAUCUUGCUCUCUUGUUUUGCCUUUCCCUAGGCCUAAUAUUUUGCUCCUCUCUUUGCUGAGCAUAUGUCAUGAGCCUAGCUAAAGUCAUAUCACUGUUUAGCAUCACAGACCUACACUCAUUUACCAUGCUAUCAUUCACUCGUGACACCAACUUGCUCAUCUUAGCCCUGUGUUUGCAACCACAUAAGGGACAUAUCUGGAUAGCUGAGUAAAUCUGAGACAAUACUCUUUAACCGUUAUAUUUCCCUGCCUGAGGUUAAUGAACUCAUGAAAUUUUACCUCCCUCAGCUCUUGGGGAAAGAAUCUUUCUAACAAAGCUAGGAAAAUAUCCUCCCACUCUAUAGGACCUGCACCAUCUACCCUCUCAGACUUCCACUGUUUAUACCAAGUGUGAGCAAUAUCCUAUAACUGGUAUGCGGCUAACUCGACACUCUAACAAGAAGUAACUCCCAUGAUGUCUAUGAUCUUCUGUACUUGAUCAAUGAAUUCCUGAGGGUCUUUAUUAGACUUAGACUCGAAGAAAUAUGGAGGGUUCAUUCAGGUGAAGUCCCGAAUCCUAGCUGUGGCUGAGUUAGCCACUGGAUUGGCCAGAAUAACUGGUGGCUGUUCAUUUUAAGUAGCCACAAACUAAGCAAGUGUGGUGAAUGCAGCCCUAAACUCCGCAUGAGAAACAUGUUCACCCAACGGAUCUUCGGGCUGAGGAGCGGGCUGGUUUCUUCUCUUUGGAGGGAUAUUCUGAAAUAAGAGAAGAACGGAUUAGACUGAGAGUUUAACUUGAGAUUAUGCUCACUAGCACGACAUGAAUACUGAAAAAGAGGAAAUUGUUCCUAAAACAUCUCAUAGCCUCUUGCACAUAAAUGUGGUGCGCAAUAUACCCAUGCACAAGAGUCUACUAGAUGCGGCUUUCAGACUUCCUAGGACUUUAUUGAACCUUAGGCUCUGAUACUUUGUAACGACCCGAUUUUCUGAAUCAGAAUGCUACACGGUACUUAUGACCCUGAGGGACCACAAGCUAACCCAUGAUUCAUAUCUGUACCUGUACACUGUAUAAUAUACUUGUAGAAUAUGGAAAACAUAAACAAUAGGCCAUAAGGUUCAACUGAAUAGAAUAUCUGAUAAAUAAUAACAUCCAUAUAGGGUAAAAAAUACCCAAAACAACUUAAAGCUGAAUCUAAAAUCUGAACUAAAUCUGAAAGCCUCUAAAUGCUGUCUGAAAUAAGGAGUUGAAGGAACAUAUCUCCAACUAACUCCGUCUAGAAAAACUGAACUGAAAUAAUGAAUGAAAUAAAAUAAUAUUAUCCUUGGAUGGAUAAAGACUCACUCCCACUCUAUGUAAUGAAAUGCUACAGCUACUGCUGAUCUAGAACUUGUGACUCUGAACCUAUGGUGUAACAUGAAAGAAAGCACCAUAGUGAAAAUACGUCAAUACGACUGGGAGUACUGAGUAUAAGAGUGAGGUAGGCUAAAAGCAAAAGGGUUUACAUGCAUGAACAAUGCUAACUGACUGACUGAUAUGAACGUAAGAGUACAAACAUGCAUACAUAGUAACUAAAAUCUUGAAUACAUGAUAUCUGGAUCUGUAUGCUAAUACAUGGUCUACUAUUAUCUAACAUGACUAAUACUAAAAUUUUGAUAACAUAGAUGACUGUGUCUGACAGUCCUUAAUCUGAUGGAACUACUUGAGUUUCGUACUGUAACUGACAGUCCUGGUAUACAGAAAUCUGAAGAACUAUCUGAGUUCUUUUACUGAGACUGGGACUGAAACUGUGGGAGGUAGUUUCUUAACUGACAUGCCCUAAUAAUACAUAUAGCUAGGUUGGGGUCCAAUCUCUACCCCGACUAGAAAGGUAUCAAUACCGCGCCACUGGUAAGGACAACUGUACGUGACCCUUAUCUGGAAGGUACUCGAAUAAGAAUGGUGGGAACCCUAAAUUCACAGGUUAAGCCACCUUAUCAACCCUAAUCUGGCAGGUUAAGAUGUCUUAACCUACGCUUGCUACGUAGUUCUAUAACACAAGGAUGACUACUAAGAAUCACACCCUAAAUUGGCAGGUGAGUUCUCAUCCUUGGGUUCACUCGGUGCUAACUUCUACUCCCAUCUGAAGAGACUGAACAAGAUCUAACUAGUUAUACAUAGACUGAGUAACUGACUUCUGUUGACUCACGGAAUAGUACUACUAUCUGAGAAUUUAUUGAGAUUAUCAGAUUUCUGAGAUUUCCUGAGUCACAUGACUGACUGAGUUAUACAGAUCAUGGCUUGACUAAGAUUAUCAUGAUAACGUGACAUGGCUCUAGGAACAUAACUAUAUUUUUUGGGUACUAGUACCCCCAGGACUUGAUGGAAGGAAACUGACACACAUAACUGACUUGAUCAUAAAAUGUAGUCCACAAUUCACCAUAUCAUAAGUAGGGGAUUUCACACUAAGCAUAGUUCUCAACAUAUUACGUAUGGAAGGGAAAUUCAUGCAAUAUGUGUAUAUUUUCAUAGCUUCAAUAUCAUGCUCAAUCCAUAUCACAACAAUGACGCAUAUCAUUCACGUGGAAUUCAUGUGAAAUCAUAAAGCAUAGAGCAUGGCCUUGUCAUUUAAGAACUAUUAAAUCAUGGGACAUGAAUUCUAUCAUCCUAGGUCUUUUAUCAAAUACUUUGUAUGCAUUCUUUUAGCUUAGGUGUGUUUUCAUGAAUUUCCUCAUUUUAAACCACAUAAAGUUCAUGGAUUUCAACUAAAGAACACAUAUACUUCAUGAAAACACCUUUAGAUAUCAUCUUGAAACUUAAACAACAAUCAUCAACAUGUACAUGGUCAUAUCACAACAAGACAAUCACAAUAUAAUAUUUAAAACAUGGUUCUUGAUAUCUAUGAACAAAAUGGAUCCAUAGAUGAGCACUACACAUACCUUAGAUGGAAGAUUCUUGAAGAUUGAUGGAGAUAUUUUCUUGAACUUGAUCCCUAAUGGAAAACCCUAAUGUGUUCUUGAGAGGAUUUUGAGAGAAAGAGUAUGUUUUGAUGAAAGAUAUAUAGGGGUGGAAAGAUGACCCAAAUACCCCUCUAGAUGCGUCAUUUAAUUUCUGUGAAAAUUAUCGAUUUGGGCCCCCAGCUCGACGUAGAGAUAUCGUGUUCCCCCCUCCCGGUUUAUGACCUGGAAACUCACCGCGAUGUGGUGGAAUUUCAGAGAGACACUGGAAAUUGACAAACAUUAUUUUGGCUUAUGGCUCGACGCACCACUGACUGAAAUGGUGCUGCUGAAACUUUAAAUUGACAUAACUUCUUUAUCGGGUGUCCAUUUUAGGCAAAUUUGGUAUCAACGGAAAGCUUAUUCAAUUAUCUACAAUUAUGAGGGUAUAAAUAUGAAAUAAUGACAUCUAUAAUCCAAGUUAUACUCAUUCAAAAAUAACCUAUAUGAAAUGACACAUGAAAAUUUAGUGGAUUCAAAAGUUCUUAGCUUGGCUUACUCUAAGUGACUCUUAUUAACAUGCUUAACACAUCAUAAGCUCUAUUAUCACUGGGAUACUCAUCCUAAUUCAUGUACUCCCAUAUGAAUCACAGGAUAGGAGGUUUCAUGUGUAGAAACAACAGUUUAUUUUCUAGCUUAGAAAUAUACAGGGUAUUACAAUAUCCCCCCCUUGAAAACAUUCGCCCUCGAAUGAGACUAACCGAAAUAGGGAUAGACGAUAAACUAGUGUAUGUACAAGACAUACACUAAUAGAACAUGAUCUCAUGACGGACAUGACAGAUAAGCUAAACAUAUCAUGCUGGACAUGCAUAUCUGAUGUAUGAGUAACUGAUCAUGAAUGCAUAACUGACAUUUCUGAUAACUGAGUUCUCCCAAUGAGAAUGCAUAUUUGAUGCAUGAUUAUACACUAGACUGAUACAUGAAUGCAUGACUUAAUAUACAAUGGUACUUGAUACCAGAUUUGUGAUGAAACGUGAGUGUGAGCUGAAUACCAAGUUGUAUAGAAGACUAAACAAGAAACUGAAUAAGCUUAAGGAGAACUGUUAACUUAAGCUUGAUCUGGAUUGCCAGAGAAGAGGUGAGGAUACUUGGUAUGCAUGUCUGCUUCUGCUUCCCAAGUAGCUCCCUCAACAGACUGAUUUUUCCAAAGAACUUUGACUAGAGGGACUUCUUAGUUCCUCAGUCUACGAGUCUGAUAGUCUAGAAUUUCAACCGAAAUUUCCUCAUAGAAGAGACUGUUCUGACUGUCAAUGCUCUGAAUAGGGACUUCGAUUGAUGGAUCACCUAUACACUUCUUGAGCAAAGAGACAUAAAAGAAUGGAUGAACUAAGGCUAGAUCUAAAGGUAAUUUGAGCUCAUAAGCUACCUUACCUAAGCGACUGAGAAUCUUGAAGGGACCGACAUAUCGGGGACUGAGAUUUCCCUUUUUGCCGAGCCACUUUACUUUCUUCAUGGUAGAGAUCUUUAGAUAGACAUAUUCCUUGACCUCGAACUCGGUAUCCCUUCUACGAAUAUCAGCAUACGACGUCUGUCCGCUCUGAGCAGCCCGAAGUCUUUUUGUGGUUAACUGGACUUUCUCUAAGGCGUCGAAUACUAAGUCAGGCCCUAUGACUGAGGCCUCACAAACUUCAAACCAUCUGAUUAGAGAUCUGCACCUCCUACCAUAGAGAGAUUCGAACGGAGCUAUUUUAAAACUAGAAUGAUAGAUAUUACUGUAUGCAAAAUCAAUCAAAGGAAAGUGGUCAUCCCAACUUCCCUUGAAAUCAAUUACACACGCCCUUAGCAUAUCUUCAAGAGUCUAAAUGGUCCUUUAUGCUUGACCAUCUGUCUGAGGAUGAAAAGCUAUACUGAGAUGAACUUGGGUACCAAGACCCUUUUGGAAUGCUUUACAAAAGUGAGAGGUAAACUAGGUACCUCUGUUUGAGAUAAUAGAUAAUAGAACGCCAUGCAAUCUGACCAAUUCCCUCAUAUAGAGUUUGUCAUAAUCCUCGGUUGAAUAAGAGGUAUGGACUGAAAGGAAAAUGGGCUGACUUGGUCAUUCUAUCUACAAUUACCCAAACUAAAUUAUGCUAAUAACGAGUUUGAGGCAAACCUAUCACGAAGUUCAUGUUCACUUCUUCCCACUUCUUAGUAGGAAUGGUGAACUCCUGCAUGGAGCCACUAGGUUUCUGAUGCUCUAUCUUAACCUGCUGACAUGUAGGGUACUUAGCCAUAAGAAGUAAUAGUAAUACUACAUAAUAGUUAGUAAUAGUAGUACUACGUAGGAUAUGUAGUAGAAGUAGUAAUAAUAUAGUUAGUAUAAGAAGUAGCACUAAGUAGGAUAUAACAACAACAAGAACAAGAACAAGAACAACAACAACAAUAACAAUAACAAAAACAAGAACAAGAACAACAGCAGCAACAAGAAUAACAACAACAAGAACAAUAAAAACAAGAAGAAAAAGAAGAAGCAGAAAAAGAAGAAGAAGAAGAACAACAACAAUAAGAACAACAACGACAACAAUAAUAACAACAAGAACAGGAACAACAACAAGAACAACAAGAACAACAAGAAUAAUAACAAGAAGAACAAGAACAACAACAACAACAACAAUAAGAAAAAUAACAAGAACAAUAACAAAAACAACAACAAGAAGUAGUAAUAAUAAUAAUAGUUAGUAAUAGUAGUACUACGUAGGAUAUGUAGUAUAAGUAGUAAUAAUAUAGUUAGUAUAAGAAGUAACACUAAGUAGGAUAUAAAAACAACAACAACAACAACAAUAACAAGAACAAGAACAACAACAAGAAAAAGAACAAAAACAAUAACAACAACAAGAACAAGAACAACAAUAACAACAACAACAAAAAUAAUAAAAACAAGAACAACAAGAACAAAAACAACAACAAUAACAAGAACAAGAAUAAGAAUAAGAACAACAAUAACAACAACAAUAAGAACAAGAACAACAACAAGAAGAACAAUAAAAAUAACAAGAACAAUAAUAAUAAGAAAAAUAAGAACAACAACAAGAAUAUUAAGAACAAGAACAAGAACAACAAUAAGAACAAGAACAACAAGAACAACAAGAACAACAACAACAACAACAAAAAUAACAAGAACAAGAACAAGAACAAGAACAAGAACAACAACAAUAAUAAUAACAAUAACAACAAUAACAACAACAACAAUAACAACAAAAGGCAAAGUUAGCAAUUACGGCUGCUAAGAUAAUAACAUUUGAGAGCUUGUAUGUGGGGUUAGAGGAGAAAGGGGGAAAAAGUUGUAUAGUCUUGCUAAGACUAGGGAGAGAAAGGGUCGUGACCUCGAUCUAGUGAAGUGCAUUAAGGGGAAAUAAGGUAGAUUUUUGGUGAAGGAUGUUCGCAUUAAGAAGAGAAGAAAGGAGUACUUUCAUAGACUUUUAAAUGAGGAGAGGGACAGAGACAUCGUGUUAGGAGAGUUAGAGUGCUCGAAGGAGAACUGAGUGUUCUGUUAUUGUAGAUGUUUCAGGGUGGAAGAGGUUAAAGAGGGUAUUCGUAGGAUGUGGAGAGGUAGGGCGAUGGGGCUUGACGAAAUUCCAGUGGAUUUUUGGAAGUAUGCUGGUGGGGCAAGCUUGAGAUGGUUGAUAGAUUUGUUCAAUGUCAUUUUUAAGACUAUGAGGAUGUCUAAGGCUUAGAGAUGGAGUACGAUGAUUCGUUAUACAAAAACAAGGGUGACAUUCAUAGUUGUAACAAUUAUAGGGGUAUUAAGCUAUUGAGUAACACUAUGACGAUUUGGGAGAGAGUGGUUGAACGGAGAUUGAGAAAGGUCGCGUCUAUUUAAGAGAAUCAGUUUAGUUUUAUGCCUGGUCGCUCGACGACAGAGAAAAUCCACCUGGUGAUAAGAUUGGUAGAGCAGUAUAGGGAGAGGAAGAGGGAUUUGCACAAGGUGUUCAUCGAUCUGGAGAAGGCGUAUGACAGAGUACCUAGGGAGGUGCUUUAGAGUUUCUUAGAGGCAAGAGGAGUUCUGAUCACAUAUAUCAGAGCUAUUAAGGACAAGUAUGAGAGAGGUAAGACUCGGGUGCGGACGGUGAAAGGAGACUCAGGGCAUUUUCCAGUCAAGACUGGUUUGCAUCAGGGGUCAACUUUUAGCCCGUUCCAUUUUGUGUUGGUGUUGGACGUCCUGAUGCGGAAGAUUCAAGGUAAGGUUCUAUGGUAGAUGUUAUUUACAGAUUAUGUAGUGCUGAUUGACGAGAUGCGGAGGGGUGUGAAUGAGAAAUUGGAGGUGUGGAGGCAAAAUCUUGAAUCUAAGGGGUUCAGGUUGAGUAGGUCCAAGACAAAGUAUUUGGAAUGCAAGUUUAGUGACUCGAGUAUGGAGGACGGUGUGAUGGUGAGGUUGGAUUCCCAACAUGUUUGUAAGAAGGAUAAUUUUAAGUAUCUUGGGUCUGUGAUUCAGGGGAAUGGCGAGAUUAUUGAGGAUGUCUUUAAAGGUAUUGGAGCAGGCUGGAUGAAAUGGAGGAUUGCCUCGGGAGUGUUGUGUGAUAAUAAGGUGCCCCUUAAGCUUAAAGGUAAAUUCUACAGAGUGGCAGUCCGUCCGGCCAUGUUGUAUAGAGCGGAGUGUUGGCCAGUCAAGAACUCAUAUAUUCAAAGAUUGAAGGUGGUGGAAAUAAAAAUGUUGCAUUGGAUGUGUGGCCUGACUAAAGGGGAUAAAUUUCAGAAUGAGACUAUCCGAGAGAAGGUGGGAGUGGAUUUGGUGGAAGAUAAGAUGCGAGAAGGAAGGUUGAGAUGGUUUGGGCAUGUGAUAAGGAGGGUCACAGAUGCCCCAGUUCGGAGGUGCGAAAGGCUAGCUUUGGAUGGCUUCAGGAGGAGUAAAGGUAGGCCAAACAAAUACUGGAGGGAGGUUAUUAGGUAUGACAUGGAGCUGUUUCAGCUUACUGAGGACAUGACCCUAGACAGGAUGGCGUGGAGGUCACUGAUUAGGGUAGAAAGGCUAGUGUGAGUGGGUUGGUUAUGGUUAGGUGUUAGGAGAGUUGGGUGUGGAAGGUUUCUUAGGUCGGUGAGUGUGUGUUACUACUACAUGGGUAUUCAUUUUUCUUAUUUCUUAGUUUGUUUGUUCGUUUUUCUCUUAUUUCCUUUUCUCGGAUAUCUAGUGUUACUAUUUCUUACCUUUGAUUUUUGUUAUGCUACCUUGGUAUAUUGUUCUAUAUCUUGAGCCGGGGGUCUAUCGAAAACAACCUCUCNNNNNNNNNNNNNNNNNNNNNNNNNNNNNNNNNNNNNNNNNNNNNNNNNNNNNNNNNNNNNNNNNNNNNNNNNNNNNNNNNNNNNNNNNNNNNNNNNNNNNNNNNNNNNNNNNNNNNNNNNNNNNNNNNNNNNNNNNNNNNNNNNNNNNNNNNNNNNNNNNNNNNNNNNNNNNNNNNNNNNNNNNNNNNNNNNNNNNNNNNNNNNNNNNNNNNNNNNNNNNNNNNNNNNNNNNNNNNNNUCUUAGGUCGGUGAGUGUGUGUUACUACUACAUGGGUAUUCGUUUUCCUUAUUUCUUAGUUUGUUUGUUCGUUUUUCUCUUAUUUCCUUUUCUCGGAUAUCUAGUGUUACUAUUUCUUACCUUUGAUUUUUGUUAUGCUACCUUGGUAUAUUGUUCUAUAUCUUGAGCCGGGGGUCUAUCGAAAACAACCUCUCUAUUUCCUCGGAGGUAGCGGUAUGGACUGCAUACAUUUUACCCUCCCCAAACCCCACUCUGUGGGAAUACACUGGGUUUGUCAUUGUUGUUGUAUUAAAAUUUCAAAAUAAACCAAUUCUACAUAUUUUGAGGUAUGACUUCUUUUAAGAGUAUUCUACAUUUUUUUAUAGUUUUAAUUGAAUAUACAAAAAUCUAAAGUUUAUUUUAAUAAGCUUAAAGAUUAAGAUAAAGUUUGCUAAAAAAUAUUUAGUUUGAAAUUUUUUAUAACAUUUUUUAUAAUUUUAAAUUGAAAUUAUAAACGAAUAAAUAUUAUGUUUAGAGAUAUAAAUUAUUUAAAUUAGUAGUCUUUAGAUAAAGAUAAGUUUGUUGAAAAUUAGUUUGUUGAAUUAGUCUUAAAUUUUUGAAUUUUAAAUUUCAAAUGGAAGUUAGGAUUCUUUUAGCUUUUGAAUUGAAAACAAACUUUAUACUAGAUAAAGUUGAAUUUAAAUUAACUCUUUCUAUAUAAACUAAUUUUUCAAUCAAACUUCUCAUUUCAUUCUCUAAAUUCUUUUGAACUUAUUCUUUAAUUAUUCAAUCAAAUCCGUUUAUUGCUCAUACCACAUUCAUGGUUGACAAUAUGCUUACAUUAAUAGAUCUAUAUACAAUGUGUAUAUUAUUUAAAGUUUAAUUUUAGAUUAUUUAUUAUUAAUUAUAAUAAUUUGUGUGAUUUUUUGUUAUAUAGAAUUUCUAUCAUAGGCAAAGAGGCUAUAGAUCAUGCAUAUACUAUUUUUCAAAAUAAUUACCAAGGUAUGUUGUUUAUACUUGAUUUGAUUUAUUAAUAAAUUUUUUAUUAUUUACAACUAACAUUACAUUUAUCUUUUGUCAGAAAUGUAACUAAAGAAUCUAAAUUUUCAAAUAUAAGGUUUUCGAAGAUUUGAUGUAUAUAAACAUCACAAAAGUGUGAAAUAAAUAUUUAAAAAACUAACAAAUAUAAUAAAAAACUAUUUGUAAAUCUUAAAUAGAAGAGUAGGGGACAAAUAAAUAAACAAUAUAAUAAAGCAAAACAUGAAACUAGGGCUGCAUAUCGGUUGGUUCGGUUCGAUUUUGAAAAUUAUCGAUUUUAUUUAUUCAUUAUCAGUUUGUAUAUAUGCUAAACUGUUAAAGAAUCGUUAAGAUAUCAGUUAAUCGGUUAUCAGUUUAUUGAUUUUUCAUUGUUAUCGGUUCGGUUAUCGGGUUAACUGUUAACAAUGAACAUAUAUAAUUUAAAGUUCAAAGCUAGUAAGCAAGCUACUUCGGACUACCAGGCUAAGUGGUACUGCUUAGUGCUCACCGCCUACUGCUUAGGAUAAUAUAAAUAAAAGAAAUAAACCUAGCAAUACUUGCUAUACAUUAACUCAGCAAUGACAGUAAAAGUUCUAGUAUGCAAUGAAAAACUAAGUGUACAUACAUAAUGCAAAUAUAGUCAUGUGAGAGCCAAUGAUAUAAGAUUGCACUAACUAGAAUUGAACAUUUUUAUUAGUAAUGCUCAAAAAGGCUAAAGAAAAAUUCAAAUAUGAGGGGACCUAAUUGUGACCAGUACUGACCACCCAUGUCUUUUUAUCCUGUUAGCUUCAAAAUUUAAUUUCUUCAUACCAUGCAUGAGCAAGUCUAAAAUAAUUAGUGUUCUACUAGUAGCUACCAAAAAGAGAAAAAACUUAACAGAAAACAAGGAAUACAUGACUGUUUCCUACUGGUUAAUGAGAGAAUUUAGUUGGAUUUGAGCCUUUGAGGGAAAUAAAGUAGGCUAAUACAGUCCACGAUCAUAACUUGUUGAGGAGUGAAAAAAAUUGCAUAUCACAAAUAACUGAUCAAAUUCGACAAGCACCACAAAUAACACAUACACAAUGAAUAACAUUAUCAAUUCUUUCCUCUACUUCUCUCACACCCAUUAUCCAAAAACAAGCAAAGAUCCAAAUAUUAAGCAAAGAAAGAAUAAAGGGGAGGGGGGGGGGGGGGAAAAAAAAAAACCAAAAAUUCUUUCUUUGUUCUUCUCUCACACCCCACUACCCAAAAACAAGAAAAGAUUCAAACUUUAAGCAAAGAAAGAACUAAACUUUGUAAUAAUGCAACAAUGGGUACAACCGUCCAAUUCUGCAUAUUAUGGCUUCUUUCAUAGAAGUACACAAACCAUUCAACAAGAUUUUAGUAUCAAACACUUUAUACAAAAGUAUAACUAAAAGGAAAAAAAUGUCAUUGUACCAAACAAUAACAUAAAGGGUAGCCCUGUGCCACUGUAUCAAGAAACAAACUAAAUUUGGAGGGGGGUGAGGGGGGUUAGUGAAGCACUAACAAAAUAAAUUAUUUUCUCUAGUUCUACAACACCCCACUACCCCAAAACAAGAAAAGAUUCAAAUCUUUAAGCAAAAUAAGAACUGAACUUUCUAAUAAUACAAUAAUGGGAGUGUCAGAAUAUGGUUUUGUUGAGCUAUUUCAAUACCAUUAAUGGGUACUACUAAGCCAUUAAUACAAUAAAGUGAAGAUGAAGUAGAAUACUAUCAACAACAACAAAAAUUGAACAUGCAAAUGAGAUGGAGAAAAAGGGUUACCUGAAAUUUUUUUACCUUCAAUUUUCGAUCAGAGAUGUGAGUAGCGAAUAAACUCUAAGUCAAAUUUUCAGCUCAAUUUAAAGUUCGAUCUUCGGCACAAGUUCGAUCUUGUAAAAAACAAUAAUUUUUUCGUGACUGAGAGACUGAGAAAGAGUGAGAUUAGAGAUGUGAGUAGCGCGUAGUGACUGAGAGAGAGUGAGAGACUGAAAGUGAGAGGCAUGAAGUCGUGAUUGUGAAAGAAGACUGAGGACCUAAU
rnacentral:lncRNA from 1 species